UUUUCCCUACCACUAAUCUUUUUCCCUACCACUACUCCUACCUCUCCACCACACUACUCCUUUUCCCCCACCACUACAUUCUUUCUCCCACUCUCACAACUUUUCUCCCACCAUUAUCACACUCCAUAGAAGCCUUUGAAGCCCCAAGAGAAGUAGCAAAGCAAGGGAGAGUGUGGGAAAACUAUAGAGUGAAGGUUGUGCUUCGAGGGUCCGGGCGACAGAAAGUGAAGCCGAAGAAGAAACGACUCCACGCCAGCUUUAAGAACAAUUGAGGUUGAGCAGGCGAUGGAAUGGAUCGGUGUUGAGCGGAUUUCCCUUUUGAUGUUUAUGUAAUGAAACCUUGAGUAUGCAUCUCCAUAUGCAUAACUCACACGUUUUUUUCGCUGCAAACACUCUGACUUAUUUAUCAUUUCUACUUGAACUUAUUACUACUUCAUUUUAAUUAACUUUCAGUUGGGGUCUAGUCGUUAUGGCAGACUCAUUUGUGAAUUACCCAAGUGGUUAUAUAUAUAUACCACUAGUUUGUUAUUAA